GUAGGUGGCAAGCGUUGUCCGGAAUUAUUGGGCGUAAAGCGCGCGCAGGCGGUUCUUUAAGUCUGAUGUGAAAGCCCACGGCUCAACCGUGGAGGGUCAUUGGAAACUGGAGAACUUGAGUACAGAAGAGGAAAGCGGAAUUCCACGUGUAGCGGUGAAAUGCGUAGAGAUGUGGAGGAACACCAGUGGUGAAGGCGGCUUUCUGGUCUGUAACUGACGCUGAGGCGCGAAAGCGUGGGGAGCAAACAGGAUUAGAUACCCUGGUAGUCCACGCCGUAAACGAUGAGUGCUAAGUGUUAGGGGGUUUCCGCCCCCCUUAGUGCUGCAGCUAACGCAUUGAGCACUCCGCCUGGGAGUACGGCCGCAAGGCUG
rnacentral:rRNA from 1 species